GGCCGACAGGCGUAGGCGAUGGAUAACAGGUUGAUAUUCCUGUACCACCUAGUAUCGUUUUAAUCGAUGGGGGGACGCAGUAGGAUAGGCGAAGCGUGCUGUUGGAGUGCACGUCCAAGCAGUAAGGCUGAGUGUUAGGCAAAUCCGGCACUCAUAAGGCUGAGCUGUGAUGGGGAGAGGAAAUUGUUUCCUCGAGUCGUUGAUUUCACACUGCCGAGAAAAGCCUCUAGAUAGAUAACAGGUGCCCGUACCGCAAACCGACACAGGUAGUCAAGAUGAGAAUUCUAAGGUGAGCGAGCGAACUCUCGUUAAGGAACUCGGCAAAAUGACCCCGUAACUUCGGGAGAAGGGGUGCUCUUUAGGGUUCACGCCCAGAAGAGCCGCAGUGAAUAGGCCCAAGCGACUGUUUAUCAAAAACACAGGUCUCUGCUAAACCGUAAGGUGAUGUAUAGGGGCUGACGCCUGCCCGGUGCUGGAAGGUUAAGAGGAGUGGUUAGCUUCUGCGAAGCUACGAAUCGAAGCCCCAGUAAACGGCGGCCGUAACUAUAACGGUCCUAAGGUAGCGAAAUUCCUUGUCGGGUAAGUUCCGACCCGCACGAAAGGCGUAACGAUUUGGGCACUGUCUCAACGAGAGACUCGGUGAAAUCAUAGUACCUGUGAAGAUGCAGGUUACCCGCGACAGGACGGAAAGACCCCGUGGAGCUUUACUGUAGCCUGAUAUUGAAAUUCGGCACAGCUUGUACAGGAUAGGUAGGAGCCUUUGAAACGUGAGCGCUAGCUUACGUGGAGGCGUUGGUGGGAUACUACCCUAGCUGUGUUGGCUUUCUAACCCGCACCACUUAUCGUGGUGGGAGACAGUGUCAGGCGGGCAGUUUGACUGGGGCGGUCGCCUCCUAAAAGGUAACGGAGGCGCUCAAAGGUUCCCUCAGAAUGGUUGGAAAUCAUUCAUAGAGUGUAAAGGCAUAAGGGAGCUUGACUGCGAGACCUACAAGUCGAGCAGGGUCGAAAGACGGACUUAGUGAUCCGGUGGUUCCGCAUGGAAGGGCCAUCGCUCAACGGAUAAAAGCUACCCCGGGGAUAACAGGCUUAUCUCCCCCAAGAGUUCACAUCGACGGGGAGGUUUGGCACCUCGAUGUCGGCUCAUCGCAUCCUGGGGCUGUAGUCGGUCCCAAGGGUUGGGCUGUUCGCCCAUUAAAGCGGUACGCGAGCUGGGUUCAGAACGUCGUGAGACAGUUCGGUCCCUAUCCGUCGUGGGCGUAGGAAAUUUGAGAGGAGCUGUCCUUAGUACGAGAGGACCGGGAUGGACAUACCUCUGGUGUACCAGUUGUCGUGCCAACGGCAUAGCUGGGUAGCUAUGUAUGGACGGGAUAAGUGCUGAAAGCAUCUAAGCAUGAAGCCCCCCUCAAGAUGAGAUUUCCCAACUUCGGUUAUAAGAUCCCUCGAAGAUGACGAGGUUAAUAGGUUCGAGGUGGAAGCGUGGUGACACGUGGAGCUGACGAAUACUAAUCGAUCGAAGACUUAAUCAAUUUUUUAAA
rnacentral:rRNA from 1 species